ACGAGCAUGUGCUCUGGGGAAUUUCUUUACAACCUUUUUUCCAUCGCCGAAAAAACAGACAGUUGGAAGUUACAGAUUGAUUCGUUCCACCUUACUAGGAAGUGAACACUUUGCACGGGAAGGGGAGGGACUCCUGGAACAAGUUGAGUAUGACCGUAACAAGCCUCUCAACAACGCGUACACAUUACUUAUUCAUCAAUUGCAAAACAGCCACAAAUUAAAUAACGAGUCUACGGUGUUAGACAUUUUAGAUACGAUUAGGUAAAAAAACCCAAGAUAAAUCCAACGCACUUCUCUUCGGCACUUUGUUGACACCAGUUUACCUGGCAAACGCGAAAUUCACACUUGAAUCUCAACUUUGUUUUUGUCUUUAUACCAGCGUUGACGCAAUGUCCACUCUUUCUGUAAGUUGGCGAGUGGGUGGGUGUGCUUUUUAAAGCGCACGGAAGGGGAACACAAGAAACGCGAGUGAAUUUUUUAAGGGUGGCCUUGACGCGCUCUGGUCGCCUGACAACAGCGCGCGAUGUUCCUCGAUUCUAACGGAUUUUAAGGUUCUUCCUCGCGCGGCGGUUCGGCGCGCGCGUCCUGCUCCAGCACAGGAACACGGGAAUGCUGCUGUGAUUUGAGCGGAUAAUUUAGCCUCUGGACCGACGUGAGAGGUUUUUGACUCUUUGAGUAUCGCAUCUCGGUGAUGAUGCCAUUCUCUAAAAAGGACAAUAUUGCAACCAACAGGUCAAAGGUCAGCAAUACUUAGUUGUUUAAAA